rnacentral:rRNA from 1 species
CCCUUAGAUGUUCUGGGCCGCACGCGCGCUACACUGAUGCAUUCAACGAGCACCCGCUGGGCCGAGAGGUCCGGCUAAUCUUUGAACGUGCAUCGUGCUGGGGAUAGAUGAUUGCAAUUAUUCAUCUUCAACGAGGAAUUCCUAGUAAACGCAAGUCAUCAGCUUGCAUUGAUUACGUCCCUGCCCUUUGUACACACCGCCCGUCGCACCUACCGAUUGAAUGGUCCGGUGAAAUUCUCGGACGCGGACUUGCGAUGUUAAUUCGGAGCUUGACUGUGAAAGUUAAUUAAGCCUUACCAUUUAGAGGAAGGUGAAGUCGUAACA